rnacentral:rRNA from 1 species
AUUGAACGCUAGCGGGAGGCUUUACACAUGCAAGUCGAACGCGUGGCGGACGGGUGAGAAAUAUAUCGGAACGUGCCCAGUAGCGGGGUAUAACUACUCGAAAGAGUGGCUAAUACCGCACACUAGUGGAACGGCAUAUAUCGGAUUAGCUAGUUGGUGGGGUAAAGGCUCACAAAGGCAACGACCCGUAUCUGGUUUGAGAGGAGGACCAGCCACACUGGGACUGAGACACGGCCCAGACUCCUACGGGAGGCAGCAGUGGGGAAUUUUGGACAAGGGGGGAAACCCUGAUCCAGCCAUGCCGCGUGUAUGAGAAGGCCUUCGGGUUGUAAAGUACUUUUGGCAGGGAAGCGGUAUCUGCAGAAUAAGCACCGGCUAACUACGUGCCAGCAGCCGCGGUAAUUC